CAGGUUCAAUUACUUCAGAAAAUUGUAAUCUCCUCGCAGUUGACUCAAUCAUCUCUUCAUUUCCCUUCGAACGAGUAUUAGCUGCUUCUUCAACCUCUGCAUGUGAAAUUUCCUUCGAUUGGUACUUCUGUGGGAGGAAGUUACCAAAUGUUAGGGGUUCAAGCGUCGUGGUAAUACCAUGAGCAGGUGUAACAAGUUGAGGAGGUGCUAAGGUAACAGUCAGAGCAACAUUUUGCCGUCGUCU
rnacentral:lncRNA from 1 species